rnacentral:rRNA from 1 species
AACCUCCGCAAUGUGAGAAAUCGCGACGGGGGGAUCCCAAGUGCCAUUCUUAACGGGAUGGCUUUUCAUUAGUGUAAAGAGCUUUGGAAUAAGAGCUGGGCAAGACCGGUGCCAGCCGCCGCGGUAACACCGGCAGCUCUAGUGGUAACAAUUUUUAUUGGGCCUAAAGCGUCCGUAGCCGGUUUAAUAAGUCUCUGGUGAAAUCCUGCAGCUUAACUGUGGGAAUUGCUGGAGAUACUAUUAGACUUGAGACCGGGAGAGGUUAGAGGUACUCCCAGGGUAGAGGUGAAAUUCUGUAAUCCUGGGAGGACCGCCUGUUGCGAAGGCGUCUAACUGGAACGGUUCUGACGGUGAGGGACGAAAGUUAGGGGCGCGAACCGGAUUAGAUACCCGGGUAGUCCUAACUGUAACGAUGCGGACUUGGUGUUGGGGUGGCUUUGAGCUGCUUCAGUGCCGAAGGGAAGCUGUUAAGUCCGCCGCCUGGGAAGUACGGUCGCAAGACUGAAACUUAAAGGAAUU